UGGUGGAGUGAUUUGUCUGGUUAAUUCCGUUAACGAACGAGACCCCUGCCUGCUAAAUAGCUCGCAUAGUGAAUUUUUACUGUGUAGCGCUUCUUAGAGGGACGUGCAUUCUAUUAGAUGCAGGAAGAUAGGGGCAAUAACA
rnacentral:rRNA from 1 species